UACGAAAGGUGCAAGCGUUACUCGGAAUCACUGGGCGUAAAGCGCACGUAGGCGGACUCGUAGGUCAGUUGUGAAAUACCUGGGCUCAACCCGGGAACUGCAGUUGAAACCGCUUGUCUUGAAUACCUGAGAGGGUGGGGGAAUACCUGGUGUAGAAGUGAAAUUCGUAGAGAUCAGGUGGAACACCGGAGGCGAAGGCGCCUGCCUGGAAGUGUAUUGACGCUGAGGUGCGAAAGUGCGGGGAGCAAACAGG
rnacentral:rRNA from 1 species